GGCACUGGGCAAGAGUCAGUAGCUCUGUGGAUACGCAUGUGGUCAGCAAAGACGAGCAGAAAUGAACCCAUGCUCGGUGCGGGCUGUCCUGCUUUCCUGAGCUCAGCUGCUCGAGUGUGUUUCAAGAAGAAUAAUAGUAAAAGCUGAAUGCCUCUGCCACUGAUCGCCGUCCCCUCAUGUCCUGAUUUAGUGAGAGCCACAGAGUGAUCCUGGCCACAUCUCAGAGGUCCUGGGGAGAUGGCAGUCAUCAAGUCAGACAAAAUCUCUGCUUUCAAGGAACUUAUAUUCUAGUGGAGGAAGACAGACAAUAAGCACAUUUAUAGUAUGUCGGUGGCGAAUGAAAACUAGGAAGAAAAAUAAAUCGAGGACACCAUACUGAUUCCAGCUGGGAACCAAGAUGAGUAAGAUGCAAUCCCUACCUCCAAGGAGGCCAAGACGGGAACAAGAACCUCUAGGUAUCAACUUCCACUUCUCUUCUCUGGAAAAUUUGAGGGCUGUCUCCAAACGGUGCUUCGAUUGCGAGUCAGAGGGAGAAGAAUGUUCAGGUCCCGUAAGCAGAAGCCCCCACAGAGUGUGUUUGCUGGUAACCAGCUUUUCUCAGGUUGUAAUGACUGAAGGUGAAUGAAGGAUUGAAGGCUUCGGGUGGAGAAUUAUCAAUCAGAUAGGGUGAAUAAACUCAAUUCCUCCAAAACACGAGCUAUUUCAAAGGUCACUGUCUUAAGAAAAAAUGUUGAUCAAUGGUCUCUUUCAGGAAAUCAACUCCGUUGAAAUAUAAUUUAUACUGCUUUUUACUUUUGUCUUCUUUCAGUGAAUUAAACUAUAG
rnacentral:lncRNA from 1 species